rnacentral:rRNA from 1 species
AUGGUACUAGGAUACUCAGAGGAAGAAUCCCGACGCAUAGCCAAUAGGUUGAACUGCCGUCUUGGCUCGUUCUCGACCACCUACCUUGGCCUCCCAAUUAGCGAUUCCCGCCUCCAGGCAAAGGACCUUCGCCCCACGGUGUCCAAACUCCAACACAGGAUCGAACCAUGGCAAGGGAGGUGGCUAUCCAAGGCGGCCCGGGUCGUGUUGAUGAACUCUUCCUUGGUUAGCCUACUUAUGUACCUGAUGGGAUUCUAUAGUUUGCAUGAAUCCCUUCAUCAGGAAGUCACCAAGUACUUGGCCCGGUUCCUCUGGGCGGGCCUAGAUAAUAAACAAAAGUAUCACAUGGUAAAAUGGUCUGAGAUUUGCAAGCCAAAGGACCAAGGAGGCUUUGGGGUCAUCUCGUCCAAACGAAUGAACAUAGCCUUGCUCUCCAAGUGGCUAUGGCGCAUUGAGACGGGAGAUGGAGGCCUAUGGCUUCAGGUCAUCCGUGCAAAGUACCUACGUGGACAGCCCCUGGCCUUCGCCCCCCGGUCGGGUGGCUCCCAGUUUUGGCAGGCAAUCAUCCAACUUAUGCCGGUCCUACGGAUUGGAACAUCCAUCUCGGUAGGGACCGGCACCAACACCCUGUUCUGGCUGGACCGUUGGUCGGGUGACCGACCAUUUGCUCGGCGUUUCAACGCGCUCUUCUCUAUUUGUGUUCGACCGCACCUAUUCAUUAUCUUGGUCCCUGGAACCAAGUGGGAGGUUUUCUACCAAGUCCCUAUACCGCGCCAUGCUAGCCACCCCGGGCCCAACCGAAAUGACCCUUCUCUGGGAGAUUAA